AAAAAUCCCAAUAUUACAUGUUCUUAAUUAGGAAGUCUGCUCUGGGUGGUGAGACGUCGGUUGCUAAGGGUUGGCUCGUGGAACCGAGCUUCCGUCUGUACUGAGGAUACAGACAUGUUUUUUUGAUCUGUGCGUGGUCCACAUGUGGGGGACUGAGUAUAAAAGACGGCUUCUGAAAGAGGGAGCGCGUUUGCAGAGUGAAGUAUUUUCAAGAUACGAGGGACCCGGGCCUAGAGGGGCCUAACGUUGAGGAAAUACUUCGUGAAAGGCUCUGUCGCCAGAUCAGAACUGAGCGCGAUGAGGGUAAAUCCGGAUCUGGACUCCUUUCCCACCAUCAGCAGAAGAACCGAAGGAGAAGAAGCGCCUGACCAACAACCAGAACAGGGUGGAAGCUCUGACACCACAGCAGCUGGAGGACACAGACCACAGCAUGGACGCCUCAGCGACUCCCACAACAUCUGCAGCCAUCACGUUCUGGGCUCAUCAGAUGAACCAGCUACUACAAGCGUGUGUGUCUGACACAGACACCUGCUUAUGACAAUCAGCAAAGGAAAACAAGGACAGAGCAACAGCAGGGAAAACGUGCUCUGACACAGACACUGGUUGAAACAACAGGAGAGGCUUCAGACGUGAUCGGCCCAAUAGAGCUGCAUCUGAGGAUCCAGGAAAGGUCUGUCAUCGAGGAACAACUGUCCCAUUGAAAGGCUUCACCCGCUGGCGCUCACAUCAGACUGAUGGUUGGGGAAGGAGGAAGGUGACGGUUCCUUUUCACGUGACGUACAAGACGGUACCGCAAACACACACACACAUUCAUAAACGCAAUGAAGAAACACGCUUACAGCUGAUACACGCUCAAAUUCAUGUUCAUGCUUAUCUGCUUGCAAUGAAGAAUCGCUUUUUGCUUAAAAAAAUCCCACAGAGUGAUUUUAAAAUGAUGACAAACAGCUAAACGACAACUGCUGCAUGACUUUACAGUCUGAUGGGUUUAAACUAUUUUAACUUGCAACAAAUUCAGUAAUAAAAUCCUCUAUGUUUCUAAAAGGGUUUGUGCACAAUAUAGGUUUGUCUGGCCAGACUAGAAGACUGUAGAAAACAAAAACAGACUAUAGGAAGACUGAGACUGACUGAAACAGACUAUUAAUGACUAUUAAAGGGAAGACGACUAUUAGAGAGAAGUAAUAAUAAUUACUGUACGUACCAGACUAUUAAAGAAAACUUACUGUUUCACUGUCUUGUGCAACAUCUGACAGCAAGACACCUUAACAUUCAUUUUUGCUUUCAAACUUGUGCCCAGUUAAAUUUUUAGGAAGAGAUCUCAUGUAGUUUAGAUAUUUGAUUGAUUUCCACUCCAGACGGAGUGCAGGUUACAUCUACAGACAUUCUAAAUAAUCCCUCUUUUGUUGGUGUUAACUUCAGCUCAGCUGUGCUCUUAUCACUGGCUGCUGAGGGGGGGCUGUAACUGAGGCCCUCACACAGGCUGCAUCACAGCUUGUUUAUGAUUUCACACACACACACUCAAACUGACCUCAACUUCCCUCUUUUGGGAUGAACACAGGUCUGCGCUUGCGAUUUUUUUUACUAACUAACAAAAAAGAUUUUUGAUUUUUAUUCUACAGUUCCACACUUCCCUCUGUGAAAACAUGAUGGAGACAGACGCAGGACGUGGGUCCUUUCGUGAACAGAUGUCAACGGGGUGGAGACUGGUGAACGACUUCUGACCCCAUGUGACGUAUUCACCUACUUUGCAUACUUUAAAAAAAAAAACUUUUUUUUAUUCUGCCUGUCAUGCACAACAAGCAGUGAACCUCCACAUUCUAAUGACACACUACAUGUUUUUAUUUUCAUUCUUCAGAGGACGCUCUGAGCCAACACUCAGCCUUACAGGAAGCCCUGCUUCCCUGUGGCUCACACACAGAUAUGAUGUAGGUUUGAUCAGAGGAUGUGAACCAGUGGUAAUCACACCUAAAUCUGACCACAAACCAUGUAAACAACAGCACCCUCUUAAAGGAGCCAUAGAUGGCGUUACUGCAGACACCACUAAGAUACUGAAACAUUGGAUGCUACAGGCCACAAAGAGAGCCUGUCUAAAUUACACUUUGUUCAGACAAAGGUUAUUUUCUGGGUCAUUGUAAUUACAGCUGAUGGCAAAUCCAUCUCACCCAACUGAGUUAAAGCAAUUUGAAACCUGCCUAAACCGUGCACGUAUAAACAGCUGAUGUCUUUUCUAGGUCUUUGUUCUUAUUGUAGGACUUUCGUUCCUAACUUUACUGUCUUUGAGGCCCCACUCAGGGUUCUGAUGCAGACGUCUUCAUCGUCCACUUCUUGUCUCACGUGGACUUCUGAGGCUGAACAACGUUCACUGACCUCAUGCUUGCUCUUCAGUUGGCUCCUACUUUGGGUCUUCCUGAACUGACCCUACGCGACCUUUCACUCAAACAGUGAAUGAGAAAUCAGGUUGUACGACUUCUGUUCUUUUGUCCUCAUACUUUGAUUCUUUUGGAAUAGAUCACAUCUUUCUACAGCUCGAUGGCUUAGAUGCAACACCACCUUGCUCAACAUGCUGAAAAUUACUAUCAAGAGUCCGUCGUGAAGUCUGGCUCUUUGCUAAGACACUACUCUGCUCAGGCUGCAGAGUUGAUUGCGUUGACUGAAGCUAGUAAACUAGCAGAAGGAGAGUCUGUUACCAUCUACAGACUCCACAGAUGCUUGUCACACGUUGGUUCUCUGUGGAAGCAUAGGAAGCUUUUGAAGUCUGAUUGCAAACCUAUCUUACAUCAUGAUAAGGUUCUGCUUUGCUGGACGCUGUCCUGCUGCCUACAGCUAAUGCUGUUUGUAACUGUCCCACUCACAACAUCAUAGACAACUUUGUUUCUGCCGACAUGCAGCUGCAGACGCUGCUGCGAAGGUCGCUGCCCAACAACCCCUCCCUCUCCUGAUCCUUGUUUCCUCUCCUGAUCCUUGUUCCCUCUCUCCAACUCUCUCUAUCCUUUCCUUCCUCUCUCCCUGUGCUUUAAACAUUUUGUACCUCACAGGAACGCAGACUCUGGCUGACGAAUGGUUCCACCUGUAGCCAUGGAGUCUGGUUUGGGCCUGAUGACACGCCGUGCCGCCCAAACACCUUUUCCCCACAAUUCAGAUUUCCAACAGGUGAAAACAGGCGACAGGACCACUACACCAUCCAACGAGGGGACUGGCGAUCGUUAAGGAGUUCAGGAGGAAGCAUUGGGACUCAAAACGGUGGCGAAGCCCCUUCCAGGUCCUUCUGACGACCCACACGGCUGUGAAGAUCACAGAAAGAGCGACUUGGAUCAACUCCAUCCAGGAAGGUCCCGGAUCCGACAGACGACCCUCCAUCUACAUCUACACCACACGAGAAAGCCACCACUGACGAAAAAAACUAAGAAGGACGACCCUCGCUGUGCUCACACACGCACUGCGGCGAGGCUGCGUUGACCGUUCAGCUAAAGGUGUGAGCCAAGCGCCGCCUGAAGCUGCGCCGGUGAAUCACACUAUCAGACCAUACAUCUACACACACGCUCCUGAGAAAACACACACACGAGCAGCCUUGAGUUGCCGACGCUGGACGACGUGUAGACUCUUCACACCACGGGAGUGACAGUGACUCAGACGACAUUGGGAGGAAACCUGGCGGUGAUAACGAAUCCCAAGUGUCUCUGUGAUCAGCUGAUCACAACCUGAAGAACUCCAACGAACUGGCAAUACUUCAACACACAGGUUGGAAACAAUCUAACGCUACUGUUCAACAGGAAGAAGCAGAUUGUUACAAGACAUCAAUUUUAACCUUGUUUUGUUAAACUUCAUUUUAUGUUACAUGGAUUAUUGCCUUUAGCAUAUGAUGUUUCUAUGUAACUUUACACACUACUUUUGAAUGAGAAAAUUCACAACAACAACACUGAGUUUAAAUAUCCUGAAGUUGACUUGGUGUUUAAUUUGCUCACAAUCACUUUAUUCACUGCUACAAUUAGUUCUAUCCUUCAUCUACAGAUGAAAGACAACAGAAGCGGAAAUAUGCAUCAUCAUUCUGGUUAAAUCCCUGAAUCUCCUAUUCGCUCUAGACGCAAAUGUACAAUUAAAGAUCCGAAAGCAUUAAAUCUAUCUUAAGAUUAUAUGAAACAGAACCCCACCGGAAACCUAUGGCUAUCAUACAUUAAUUGUAUUUAUUACAUUACAAUUGAAUGGCCGUAGACACGUUGUUAGCAGAGAAAAGAGGCGUUUGUGUUAUGUUUGGAGACGCAUUUUGUACUUACAUCCUGAAUAACACUGAUUCUAAUGGUACUGUGGCGAAGGCGCUCCACGGCCUUCAGAAUCUCAGCUAACUCUGGUAUAGGUUCUUUCCUCUUGGAAUUGGCUAGACGAAAUGUCUGGAAAAUGGAAAUCUGUUCUCAUGUCCACAGCUGUUUCCUUUAUAAUUGAGAUGGCUGUGAUUCUCUUGUUUGGUUUUUACGUUAUCCCACUGGUUAGAGGUCUCAUCAUGCAUGCGACCUCAGCAACACUCUCAUAUCAAAUGACACAAUGCACUAUGUUCAAAAACCCCAACUCUAAUUCACUUAAUGACUUUGACAAUGGUCUUAGGCUAUAUGAUCACAAAAUAUAAUCUGAUACAAAUAUGAUUAUUGACUUAUUUUCUUCACAUGCUCAUACAGAGGUUAUUGUUGUAUAACUACCCACCAAAAACAGCUCCCAACCUUUUCUCCCUUAGUUACUUCCAUUUUAUGUGAAGGUGUAUUUUGAAUCUUGAUGAGUUAAUACCCUUAUUGUUUCAUUUGCAAGGAUCUUUUAUUAUUACAGAAUAUGAUGUUGACAAUUUUUAUUCCUUUAUGGUUUGAUUAAUGUGUAAUCAAAAGGGGGGAGUGUUAUGGGAAAAAUUGUCUCUUCCUUAUUUUUAUGUGUCUUCCUUAUUUCUAUGCAUUUCUAUGCAGUUAUUAUACGAGUUAUGACUUAUGUUCUGCAAUUAAUAUCUUAUGUUUUGUCUUACUGUAUGCAUUUGACAUUUCACCUAGAUUGUUCAAUGGUUGUCUCUGCCUGAUAGACUCUCAACUCUAGCUCCCAAACCCAAGGUCGGGGAGUUGUGUCUCUGUCUGUUGAGACUUGGUGCUCCUUUCUCACAGAUAGUUGGACGUCAGCGAUGCAGGUGUGAGAAAGUAAAAAUCUUCACACACACUGCGACAGGGAGGAGAUGGUGCAUGUAAUUUGAUUGGGUUAGAAAGACAUUCCACCCUAGUCGGACAGAGAAGCUAAAAGGCAGAAACAACUUGAGGAUCGUGGGCUCUUUGCAUCACACCUUCGUGGUGUGUGCACUGAUCUCCCCAGCUGGUUUUUGGUUUGUUGAUGUGCACGAUCAACAUCCAUGCUUUUUAUUUGCUUUCCCCAUUAUUUUUAUUUUCUUUAUUAUUUCAAUAAAUCGCACAAAAGGACAA